GAUGAAGAACGUAGCGAAAUGCGAUACUUGGUGUGAAUUGCAGAAUCCCGUGAACCAUCGAGUCUUUGAACGCAAGUUGCGCCCGAAGCCAUUAGGCCGAGGGCACGCCUGCCUGGGCGUCACACGUCGUUGCCCCCCCAUCUACUCCUUCGGGAUUGCGGGGGGCGGAUGAUGGCCUCCCGUGCGCCUCGUCGCGCGGUUGGCAUAAAUGCCAAGUCCUCGGCGACGCACGCCACGACAAUCGGUGGUUGCGAAACCUCGGUUGCCCGUCGUGUGCGGUCGUCGCGCAUCGAGGGCUCGAAAAAAUUGCCGGGCUCCGGCUCGACUUUCAACGCGACCCCAGGUCAGGCGGGGUUACCCGCUGAAUUUAAGCAUAUCAAUAAGCGGAGGA
rnacentral:misc_RNA from 1 species